rnacentral:rRNA from 1 species
GACGAACGCUGGCGGCGUGCUUAACACAUGCAAGUCGAACGGAAAGGCCCUGCUUUUGUGGGGUGCUCGAGUGGCGAACGGGUGAGUAACACGUGAGUAACCUGCCCUUGACUUUGGGAUAACUUCAGGAAACUGGGGCUAAUACCGGAUAGGAGCUCCUGCUGCAUGGUGGGGGUUGGAAAGUUUCGGCGGUUGGGGAUGGACUCGCGGCUUAUCAGCUUGUUGGUGGGGUAGUGGCUUACCAAGGCUUUGACGGGUAGCCGGCCUGAGAGGGUGACCGGCCACAAUGGGACUGAGAUACGGCCCAGACUCCUACGGGAGGCAGCAGGGGGGAAUAUUGCACAAUGGGCGGAAGCCUGAUGCAGCAACGCCGCGUGCGGGAUGACGGCCUUCGGGUGGUAAACCGCUUUCGCCUGUGACGAAGCGUGAGUGACGGUAAUGGGUAAAGAAGCACCGGCUAACUACGUG